rfam:Methylotenera mobilis JLW8, complete genome.
GCGGGAAUAGCUCAGCUGGUAGAGCGCAACCUUGCCAAGGUUGAGGUCGCGAGUUCGAGCCUCGUUUCCCGCU